AAACGAUUACGAAUAUUAUGUUUCUGGUUAAUAUGUUAAUUGUGUUAAGUAAAAUCCAGUUUUCUUUGCAACUUAGUGGUGGAGUUUGUAAAAGUAAGGACAAAGGUGAAGAUGUAUGUUGUUAUAACUAUGAAAAUAUCAAUGAUGUUUGUACACAGUGCAUAAUUGGAACUGUUUCCCUACAGGACGGACUAUGUUUUCCAUGCAAAGAGAACAAGUACGGCUACAAAUGCUUGAA